rnacentral:rRNA from 1 species
UGCGGUCUUUUGAGCGGAGUGGAACUACUCCUUCCCAUACCGAACAGAGAUGUAAAACGCUCCAGCGCCGACGAUAGUAUAUCCGCAAGGAUAUGCGAAAAUAAGUCAAGGCCGUGG